UUUGGUUUUUUUUAAUUAAAUCAUUGCAUGGACGUGCCAUAUAGGAGGGACAUUUAACCUUGCCUUGCUGACUACAGACUUCAUUUGUAUGCUAAAGUGAUGUAAUUAAUGGUUUCACAGCAUGGCUGUAUCUAUUGUAUUCCCUGUCUCCAGAACAUCAUUUGCAAAUUGUUGUAAUGAUGUACUUAUCUAUUGAUGAGAUCAGCAUGGCACCCAGACUUCAUUUGCAACCAUGGCACCCAGACUUCAUUUGCAUGCUUUGUUUUACUGUCCCCCAUGACUGACCCCACCUACAUGCUGUAAGAUGUAUAAAAUGUAUUAUGUUUUGCUGUGGAGUUGAGAGUUUGCUUUCGAUGACGCCACAGCCACGCUGAGUUUCCUCUUAUUAAAAAGGAUUCUGCUUUGAAGACAACCGAAAGAUUCUCCCUGGUUUUUUGUGGGCUCUUAGAAGUUUACAACAACGCCAAAGAUAAACUUUUUGAGGUUUGGGGAGAUUCAUCACUGUGGAUUCUCUUGUAUUGCAAAAAAGAGAGGAGAGCAUUGGAUCCUGAGAGCCUUGGAGAUCCCACUUUGGAGAUGGUGUUUAAACAACUCAGCCAGCUAUCCGUUCUCCACUGCUAUACAGAUUGUGCAGCAAGAUGGUUCGGCCCUCAUACCAGGAGGCAAAACAAACAUUUGUUGAUUUGCGACCUAGGUGCAUAAUUUAUGACAAUAAAUGUUGGACAUUAUUUCAUUCAUGUGUGUAUACUUGGAGGAGCAACAGAUACAGAACCCUUUUGUCCUGCUGCUUGGGGAUGAACUAAACUGGUCUCAGACAUUUGUUAUUGUUGGAGGAGUGACACUAAAUUCAUGGAUUUAAAUAAAGCUUUGCCAAUGUAUUAAAA